GAUGAACGCUAGCGGCAGGCUUAACACAUGCAAGUCGAACGGUAAGGCCCUGCUUGCAGGGUACACGAGUGGCGCACGGGUGCGUAACGCGUAUGCAACCUACCUUUAACAGGGAGAUAGCCCAGAGAAAUUUGGAUUAAUAUCCCAUAGUAUUUCAUAUACGCAUGUAUAUGGACUUAAAAUUCCGGUGGUUAAAGAUGGGCAUGCGUGACAUUAGCUAGUUGGUAGAGUAACGGUUUACCAAGGCGACGAUGUCUAGGGGAUCUGAGAGGAUUGUCCCCCACACUGGUACUGAGACACGGACCAGACUCCUACGGGAGGCAGCAGUGAGGAAUAUUGGUCAAUGGGCGCAAGCCUGAACCAGCCAUGCCGCGUGCAGGAAGACAGCCUUAUGGGUUGUAAACUGCUUUUGUAUGGGAAGAAACCCUUCUACUAGUAGGAGGCUGACGGUACCAUAAGAAUAAGCACCGGCUAACUCCGUGCCAGCAGCCGCGGUAAUACGGAGGGUGCAAGCGUUAUCCGGAUUUAUUGGGUUUAAAGGGUGCGUAGGCGGGUUCGUAAGUCAGUGGUGAAAUCCCGGGGCUCAACUCCGGAACUGCCAUUGAUACUGCGGAUCUGGAGUACAGAUGAGGUAGGCGGAAUAUAGCAUGUAGCGGUGAAAUGCUUAGAUAUGCUAUAGAACACCGAUUGCGAAGGCAGCUUACUAGGCUGUUACUGACGCUAAUGCACGAAAGCGUGGGGAGCGAACAGGAUUAGAUACCCUGGUAGUCCACGCAGUAAACGAUGAUAACUCGAUGUUGGCGAUACACAGUCAGCGUCCAAGCGAAAGUGAUAAGUUAUCCACCUGGGGAGUACGAUCGCAAGUUUGAAACUCAAAGGAAUUGACGGGGGCCCGCACAAGCGGAGGAGCAUGUGGUUUAAUUCGAUGAUACGCGAGGAACCUUACCUGGGCUUAAAUGUAGAUUGAAUGAUAUGGAAACAUAUCUUUCCUUCGGGACUAUUUACAAGGUGCUGCAUGGUUGUCGUCAGCUCGUGCCGUGAGGUGUCGGGUUAAGUCCCAUAACGAGCGCAACCCCUAUUCUUAGUUGCCAUCAGGUAAAGCUGGGGACUCUAAGGAAACUGCCGGCGCAAGCCGCGAGGAAGGUGGGGAUGACGUCAAAUCAGCACGGCCCUUAUGUCCAGGGCUACACACGUGCUACAAUGGUCGAUACAAAGGGCAGCUACCUGGUGACAGGAUGCGAAUCUCUAAAAUCGAUCUCAGUUCGGAUCGGAGUCUGCAACUCGACUCUGUGAAGUUGGAUUCGCUAGUAAUCGCGCAUCAGCCAUGGCGCGGUGAAUACGUUCCCGGGCCU
rnacentral:rRNA from 1 species